AAAAAAAAAAAGCAUAUUCCACUUAUCACUUCAUACAGGCAAAGAAUCAGUCAGGCUAAAUAUUCUGGCUGUAUGGUUUCUCUACUGUAUUUUCUUAACAAUGGGGAGUUUUGAAAUUUAUGAAGCAGAAAAUCUAGUCUGAUUAUGCUUGAUGACCCAAAUAAAGAAGACAAACUUCUGAUUUAUUAAUAAUAAUUGUACCUAACUACUUUUGAUUGCCUCUUAAAACAGUUCUUAUAGACUAAAAGCCCAGAAAUAGCCUUUCAGCUGUCUAUUGUUCUUAAUAUAAAUGAGAAUGUUUUCUAAAAUUUAAAAAUUAGAAUAGAGUGGUUCACAUCACAUUCCCAUUUCCCUUUCCCAGUGGUCUUGUGCUUUUAUUUACUCAUGUACUGAGAUUAAUUUAACAAGACAGAAAGUACUUGUGCAAACAAAGUAGAACCCUUUUAGGGGCAAACAUCCUGGUUGUAGGGAUUACCUGUGUCAGCAGAGAGCAUUAUGUUGCAAGUAAACUAAUUAACAAUAAAACAUUAUCAGAAGCAUUAUAACAAAACUUUCAUGAAUUGUGCCUUAUAAAUAUUAAAAAAAAAAAAAAAAUCUGGUUUUCUGUACCAUGAACUGAAUAAUUCCACAUGGUAUCAAGUUUGGGUUCUGUUUACUCUCAGUUAUCUCUUAAACCUCAUAUCUUAGCUCCUUCUUCAACGUGCUGUACAGGUCAUAAAUUCUGAUCACCAUUAAAUCACAUAUUUUUUUUAAUUGCAUUUUAUGCAGUCUUUCAAGAAGGAUGUGUAAAUAUAAUGAAAUAUAUGCUUGAGAGAUAUUUUGCCCUUUACAAUAGUGUAAUCAGUGAAACGUGGAAACUCCCAAACACUUACUUGAGUGUUAAAAAGGCAAUGAAUAACAUAAGGAUACAUAAGGAUAUUUCCAGAAAAAAACCAACCAUAAAAACAAAUGUUAAGAAAACCUGUUCUGAUUACAGAUUCUGAUCUGAUUAAGUAAUUCAAUAUUUACUUAUUUUGCUCUUGUGCAUGCAAUCACUUAACUUAAUUCAAACUUUACACUAUUAGUACUCUAGACUAUGUACUUUGUAUCUCAGUCUUUUUAGAUAUUUACAUGUAGAUUAAUUUUUAAAUACUUAUGUUUUUAUCUUGCUCGCCAGCUGGGUGAAAAUGCUGCAAGUUUCAGAAAAUAUGUCAAUGAUGGGUUUUUUUGUUUGUUUUGUUUUUGUUUUUGUAUCUAUGAGAAAUAUACAUUACCUCUUAUUGCUCAUUCUUGGUGGAAAAAUGUAAAAUAAAAUCCUAAUGUAGCAGAAUAGAAUGUACUCAGCCUAGUUCUAUAAGUAGGUUCAUUAUCUUCUGUCUAUGUGUGUUUAGCUUGAUAUCACCACAUUAAAUAAGUGUGUCUGUCAAAUUAUUGGCAGUUUUUGUCUCCCAGAAUUUAAGUUCUUGCUUUGAUGAACUGAAAGUCUCUUUCUUAUAUAUGUGCUAAAAGAAAACUUCAGUAGGUGGUUAAAAAGGUCACAAUAUAGCCUUGGAUAGUUUAUAUAUACAUAUAUAUAUAUAUAUAUGUAUGUAUGUAUGUAUUUAAAGCCAAGAGUAUUCCUCUCUUAAAAUGUGUCUCAAGGAAGCACAGAGAACAAUGAUACAAGUCAUCAAGUCAUACAAAAUCUUGGGAAUCGGAUCUGGUGUAAGAAGUCCUAUACAUGGUUAUAAGGAAGUAGUUUAAUUUUGCAUAUUGUUAUAACUGAGAUCUGAUUUCACAGGAAAUCAGGUAUUUCUAAUAGUUUUACUGCUCAUCAUGAGCUUCAUUUGUGGUUUUACUUGAACAUUUCCUUUCUCAGGAAGGCUACAGAAGAACAGUAUAGAAGCCUUUAACAAUACCUAAAUUCAUCAACAGAUGCAAUGGAGAAUUUAACACACCAAAACUCUAUGCUCAAAUAAAAACACUACUAGUACAGUACUUUCUGAAAUAGACUGUGUCAGAAUGUUUUAUAGUUUCAUAUUCUCAUGCCGUGACAUUGGAUGUGUUUAUGAGUUAAAAUAAGCAACAAGCAGACUAUCCUAACUGCAGGCUAUAAAAGCUCAAUCAGGGACCUAGACGUCAGACUAAUCUCUUGGCCUAUUGGUCAUUUCUGUAGUUGGAGUGAACUGCCUCUAUUGAUGAAGAUGCACCAGCACUGUACACCAUGUGAUUCCUCAUCUGCUCAAAUUGUGCAUUUUCUCUGAUUGAUUCUCCUUAUCCAUAAGAGGACUGAGGUGCUAAAAGAAGUACUACUAUUAAGAUGAUAAUGAUAUCAUAACACUUGUCAGGUUAAAAAAAUAAAUAAAUACUGCUUUACAAAUGAGAAAACAAACCCAGAUGUGCUUGUUUGGCUUCCAGAGUGGUGAUAAAGUAAGGAGAGAAUAGAGCUGGAUGUUGAACCAAAAGCAUCUGCAUCCAUGUGAGUUCUCUUUCAUAAUGUGAGUGACUCCUUAAUAAUCUCUAUAAAUGUCCUUCCCACACUUUCCCACACAAGGGGAAAGGCAUCAUCAUUUGGUUAGGAUCGGUAUUCCCCAUUGUCAUUUCCUGGCUGCUUAAAUCAUAUUUUUAAGUGCUGACUUUGGCACAACUCAACACUUUGUAGAUUGAGAAAGACCUUCAAUCCAGACUUUUUAAUCUCAGAGUUACUUUUGAACUCCUUCUGGGUAUGGGAAGCUAAAUGAGGAGCUAAAAUCCAAAUGUCCCUCUUUUUGAGUUGUGUUUGGGACACCAAGUGCUGUUUCUAAUUCUCUGAUAGUCCUCUCUAAAAGGGAACAGGUCAGUCAUUUGUACACAAGAGGUAUUGGUAUAUGGAAAACAGUAUCAGAUGUGAAUCCCUUUAGAUGCCUAAAAAGUGAUUCUUUAAGCAUCUGUCAAUUGUCUCUUGAUUGUUUUGUGUAUACUUACUUCAAGGCUGCUGUGAACACUGUCCUCAAACAUCUACCUAUCCCUGUUCAAUGUUCACAGAAAUUGAGUCACUUAACUCUUGUGCUUGUAAGUGCUAUGUGUCUCAGUAAGACUGAUGACAGUCAUGAUUGUCACAUUAUUUAAUCAUCUGGCUCUUUUAUACUUACCUCCUCUGAACUUCUGAACUAUUUGUCUGAUCCCAGGACAAAUGUGAACCAAAACAGACCUUUAUCUAGCUACAUAUUUGGUGCCUUUUAAAAAUCAGAUGGAACUCAAAAAUAUACUAGUGUUUUUAGUUCACCAACAAAUAACUCUCAAGUGUGUUUUUACCAUUUAAUUAUUUCUUCUUAGACCCACAUCUCACCAUAUUAUUAGAUUAAGAUUGCAUAAGCAUACAUCAUCUGAAUAGUUUUACCAGAAACCACAGGGAGGUAAUAUUCAGGAACAUAGAAUCAUAGAAUCAUUAAGGUUGGAAAAGACUUCUAAGAUCAUCUAGUCCGGCUGUCCACCUACCACUAAUAUUUCCCCACUAUACCAUAUUUCUUAGUAUCACAUCGACACGUUUCUUGAACGCCUCCAGAUAUGGUGACUCAAUCACCACAUCUUUGCACAAAUGAAAUCCUUUAUAGUUAGGAUUAUAAAUAUUGAGAGGCGUUGUUAAAAAUUAAGUUAGAAAAUUCCUCAAACCUUCCAGAUCUGCUUAUAUGUGUACAAAGAGAUGCGCAUUUUCAGGGUAUAUUCUGUAUAUAUUAUAUUGCUUUCUCAACCUGUAUGGUUUUGGAAAAAAAAAAAAAGGAAGAAAAGGAAGAAAAUCCUGCCUUUGAGAAGGAAAAAAAAAAAUAAGAUCAAGAUGAUGAUGGACUUGUUUGGUUUUCUCCUCUUUUUAAAGUCUUUCUUGUGUGCAUAAAAGUGGCAACAAGUAUAUGUGACUAAUGGCAACAUUUCAGUGUUGUACUUGUGAUGAACUGCAAAAUAACACCUACCAAGAAGCAUCCCACAUUUUACUAUUUCUAGUUUCCUUGAUUUUCCUAUCCAGUGCUCUGUAACAUUGAUCACAAUAUUUCAAGUAUCACUGCAGAUGCCACCAAGCUUCAAGGACUUCUAGAUGCAAAGGAAAAAUAACAUUUACAAACUAUGUCUAUGCCGAGUCACUGCAAUGUACUGCAGUGCAGAGUCAAUAUGUUAUCUACAGUACCUUCAUCUAGCUUGUUCAAAUAGUGUUAGCAGCCUAGCUGUGGUAAAAGCAGCUCAGCACAGGAUAGCUUUAUCAAUUUCUGUAAACUGGAAUUAUUUCAGGAACCAAGACAUAAACCCCUGCCCUAUUAUGACAAAGAACCAAUCUUUCAUAGACUGAAAUAAAAAUACUUUGAGGCCAUUGUAAUCUAUACCUACUUAUCUUACAUAGAACUGAUAUACUUACGAGCACAUUUGUAUAAAUUUACUUCAUUCAGUAAGAAAUACUGUCUGACAGAUGUUCAUGAGGCAGUCAAGAUAAACAUGUUCACUGUGACUUUUGUUGACUACGUGUGUGUGUGUGUAUACAUACAUAUGCCCAGACAAUAUUUCUUUCUUACUGACAAUAUAUGCGUAUACCGCAAAUAUAAAUAUAUAGUGUUGACAAUAGGUAUGUAAUGAAUUGCAGGCCUAUCCCAAGAUUUUAGGCAUUAUGUAAUAUCCAUAGAGGAUAAAUCUACUUAAUCCUUGUUAUAAUAUAUUCCUAAAAAUCCAUAUUCACUCAAGAAGUGAUUGCUGAAGCAUAAACUGUUUUUCUCUUCAUUUUAAGUAAGUUUUAACCUUUAGAGAAAUAAUUUUCAUUUCAGUUAAGAAAUAGCCCAAGUAAAAUUUAAAUUAAAAAAAAUAGCUCUUUGGUGGAUCAUGUAGAUUUUUGGUAUCUUCUUUAAUAGUUCUGCUGGAAGCUUUACCUGAAAACUCUGCUAAACCAGUUUUGCUUUUAAAAGAAACUUUGAUUUUAUAGCAGUCUGAAUUAAU
rnacentral:lncRNA from 1 species